rnacentral:ncRNA from 1 species
UACAUAAUUCAGACUUGUGGUUGCUAUUUUUUGUAAGACGAACAAUAAUAGUACGCGAACAGACGAGAGUAAAGUUUUCU